rnacentral:tRNA from 1 species
UCCCUGGUGGUCUAGUAGCUAAGACUCCGUGCUCCCAAUGCAGGAGGCCCAGGUUUGAUCCCUGGUCAGGGAG